GAAACCCAAUCGCGCACAACAGGCAGCCACCGCCCGCCGCCGGCCGCCGCCGCUUUGCCCUGCAGCGAGCAAGGGCCACACCAGCCAUCUCUGCGCCCCCGUUUGCCCGCCGCACCGCACGUCUGGAGUGGACGGGUGCGGGCACCAUCCACUGUUCCGGGGCGUGCUGUCUCUGCUCCAACAAAGGUAGAGAGGGAGCGGCUGCUGGCAGUCGAGCGGCCGGGGAUGUUCUGAGCAUCGAAGAAAAUCUCAGAUGUGAGGGAUUGAUGCUCUCGUAUGCUACAAUUGAUUUCAAGCACUAGCUUUCUUAAUUCUCGUAUGCUGAACUAUGCUCCUCUAUGCUAACAAGUCACUUAAGAAGAUGUAUCCUGUUGCAAAGAACUAUUUUGGAGGGCUGCUCCAACCACAUUCAUUUUCAGUUUCUGAUCUUGUCAAUCCUCCGAGAUCCUCAGACAUAGCUUCUAGAUAUGCUAUUCCAUUCAAGGCUCGUUCGUUUACACAAUGUUCCAUUGGAGGAUGUUCAGCUGACCAAGAGAUUGUGAUUGCUAUGGGAAGUAAUGUGGGUGAUAGAGUCAAUACAUUUGACAGGGCAUUGCAGCUGAUGAAAAGCUCGGGCUUGAGCAUCACUAGGCAUGCCAAUCUCUACGAGACUGCCCCUGCUUAUGUGACCAAUCAGUCACGGUUUCUUAAUUCUGCCAUUCGGGGCACAACUAGGCUCCAUCCGCAUGAGCUUCUUAAAAAGCUAAAGGAAAUUGAGAAGGAUAUAGGCCGCACUAGUGGAAUAAGGUAUGGCCCAAGGCCUAUUGAUCUAGACAUACUUCUAUAUGGUAAUUCCAAGAUUAAUAGUGAGACUCUAAUUGUGCCACAUGAGCGCAUCCAUGAGAGGCCAUUUGUUUUAGCACCUCUUGUAGACCUUCUAGGUGCUUCUGGUGAAGAUGGUAUCGAAACAAGUUGGCACUCUCUUUCGAAAUGCAGUGGUGGUUUCUUUGAAUUAUGGAAUAAACUUGGGGGUGAAUCUAUCAUUGGCACAGAAACUAUUAAAAGGGUAUUACCUGUUGGGAAUCGUUUGUUGGAUUGGAGUGAGAGAACUCUCGUCAUGGGGGUCCUUAAUCUAACACCAGAUAGCUUUAGUGAUGGAGGUAAGUUUCAACAAGUGGAAGCUGCCAUUUCUCAGGCUAAGUUAUUAAUCUCAGAAGGUGCUGAUAUCAUUGAUAUUGGUGCUCAAUCUACCAGGCCCUUUGCAAAGAGAUUGUCUCCAAACGAAGAACUUGAGAGAUUGGUUCCUGUUCUGGAUGAGAUUAUGAAAAUUCCCGAGAUGGACGGAAAGUUGCUCUCAGUGGAUACCUUCUAUGCAGAAGUUGCUAGUGAAGCUGUGAAAAGAGGAGCUCACAUGAUCAAUGAUGUAUCGGGUGGACUGCUUGACCCCAAAAUUCUUAAAGUUGCUGCUGAACUCAGAGUUCCGUAUGUUACAAUGCAUAUGAGGGGAGAUCCAUCAACUAUGCAAAGUGAACCAAAUUUACAUUAUGAUGAUGUCUGCAAGGAAGUUGCUUCUGAGCUAUAUGCACAGGUGAGAGAAGCAGAGUUAUCUGGGAUUCCAUUGUGGAGGAUAGUUCUAGAUCCAGGCAUUGGGUUCUCCAAGAAAUCGAAACAUAACCUUGAAGUAAUUAUGGGAUUGGAAUCCAUUAGGAGGGAGAUGGGUAAAAUGAGUAUAGGUGCUUCACAUGUGCCAAUAUUAUUGGGACCCUCGAGGAAGAGUUUUUUGGGUGAAAUAUGCAACCGUGCCAAUCCAGUUGAGAGAGAUGCUGCCACUGUUGCAGCUGUGACAGCUGGGAUUUUGAACGGUGCUAACAUAGUAAGGGUCCAUAAUGCUGGAUAUGGCGCAGAUGCUGCAAAGGAGGGCUACCCAUCAUUGUGUUAGGAAAGUGUAUUUGCAUUUUUGUAUUCCCCAUGAAGAAAUCUCAUGUUUUGCAAGUGCUGUAUGACAUGCAUAACAAGACUUGUGCUAUGAUUUACCUGGUUUCUGAAGGUCAUCCAACUACGAAAUAUAAAUAUUUUCCAGUUUGCAAUUUGGAAUAGCACUACAGGAGUGAUCUUACUAGCAUCGGUUUGCUCUGUGGAUCGAGCUCAAAGCAGCCGGCCUCAACAAAUGCUUCCUAUGUGAUUGGCUUAUAUUCUCUGUUGGGACCCUCUAGAUGUGGUUGGACUGUACAGAUAAGUUCAUCUCCAUAUUCGAGCUGGGUUCAGUAUGAAAUUUUGGCACUCACUGAUUGGAGUGUGGAUGGGAAUAUCCCUAACCGGCCACAGAGAAGAUAAAAGGAUGGAAAGAUGAUAGAUGGAGGCUCCUUUGGUCAAAAGAGGAGACCUUUUGAGAGGUGGAGGAUAUCCACUCCUGUAGAAUCCCCAUAGAUAUUUUCUGGCCGUUGGAUGUUGACACGCCUGUUGUUAGAUAUAAUCGAAACCAAUCAAUUUUGCUUUGUCCAGAGAAGAAUCUUCAGGCAGUAACACUGAGAUUGAAAUUAUACUCAUAUAAUCGAAACCAAUCAGAGAAGAAUAAGUGGCAGAUUGAAAUUGCUGCAAUCUCCAAAACAUAAAAGGGACCAUUGGUUUUUCAACUAUAGUAUACUCAUAAAUAAAGUUAUAAUCUUAUGGAAGUAUAGUCAAAAUUUGCUCAUAUAUGAACAGCAUUAUUGGUGAAAUUAAGAUAUUUUGGUUGCGAAAAGAUUCUGAA